rnacentral:antisense_RNA from 1 species
UCCAUGGUGGGCCUUGGCAGGGGCGUGCUUGCACGCGCCGGUUCCUUUGUGCCGGUCCGCCAACCUUGCCUUGCGCCCACCACCC